rnacentral:rRNA from 1 species
AUGUCAGUGUCAAAUGGGAAGUGGAUUGAUGGGCUCCAGUUCUCAUCACUGUUCUGGCCCCCGCCACACGAUGUGCAGCAGAAACAGGCACAAAUUUUAGCCUAUGUUGAGUACUUUGGUCAGUUCACAUCUGAUAGCGAGCAAUUCCCGGAGGAUGUAGCUCAGCUAAUUCAAAGUUGCUAUCCAUCAAAAGAAAAGCGGUUGGUAGAUGAAGUAUUAGCAACUUUUGUUCUCCAUCACCCUGAGCAUGGUCAUGCAGUUGUACAUCCAAUUCUUUCACGCAUCAUAGAUGGGACACUGAGUUAUGAUAGUCAUGGUUCCCCAUUCAAUUCCUUCAUCUCUUUAUUUACCCAAAGUUCUGAGAAAGAGUACUCAGAGCAGUGGGCCUUGGCCUGUGGAGAAAUUCUUAGAGUUCUAACUCACUACAACAGGCCAAUCUUUAAAGUUGCAGACUGUAACAACACAUCUGACCAGGCCACAGCAAGUUGUUCUGCACAGGAGAAAGCUAAUUUCUCUCCAGGAAAUGAGCCUGAACGGAAGCCAUUGAGGCCAUUAUCUCCUUGGAUCACAGAUAUUUUGCUAACUGCACCUUUGGGCAUUAGAAGCGACUAUUUUAGAUGGUGUGGUGGAGUUAUGGGAAAAUACGCAGCUGGUGGAGAAUUGAAGCCUCCAACAACUGCUUACAGCCGUGGAGCUGGUAAGCACCCACAACUCAUGCCAUCCACCCCAAGAUGGGCUGUUGCCAAUGGAGCUGGAGUUAUUUUAAGUGUCUGUGAUGAGGAAGUAGCUCGUUAUGAGACAGCAAACUUAACCGCGGCAGCUGUCCCCGCCCUUCUGCUACCUCCACCGACAACACCCUUGGAUGAGCAUUUGGUGGCAGGGCUACCCCCUCUCGAACCAUACGCUCGCUUGUUUCAUAGAUACUACGCAAUUGCCACACCAAGUGCUACGCAAAGAUUGCUUUUUGGUCUUCUUGAAGCACCACCGUCAUGGGCUCCAGAUGCACUUGAUGCAGCAGUUCAGCUUGUUGAACUCCUUCGGGCAGCUGAAGAUUAUGCUACUGGCAUGCGGCUUCCAAAAAAUUGGUUGCAUCUUCAUUUCUUGCGUGCGAUUGGAACUGCAAUGUCUAUGAGGGCUGGUAUUGCUGCUGAUACAGCUGCUGCGUUGCUUUUUCGCAUACUAUCCCAACCAACGUUGCUUUUUCCUCCACUAAGGCAUGCUGAAGGAGUUGAAGUGCAACAUGAACCACUGGGUGGCUAUGUAUCAUCAUACAAAAGACAGCUGGAAGUUCCUGCAUCUGAAACCACAAUUGAUGCCACUGCACAAGGCAUUGCUUCCUUGCUGUGUGCUCAUGGUCCUGAUGUUGAGUGGAGAAUAUGUACCAUCUGGGAAGCUGCCUAUGGUUUGUUACCUCUGAAUUCAUCAGCAGUUGAUUUACCUGAAAUCGUUGUAGCUGCUCCGCUUCAGCCACCUACUUUGUCAUGGAGCCUAUACUUGCCACUGUUGAAAGUAUUUGAGUAUCUACCUCGUGGAAGUCCAUCUGAAGCAUGCCUUAUGAGAAUAUUUGUGGCAACAGUUGAAGCUAUACUCAGAAGAACUUUCCCUUCGGAAACCUCUGAAUCAUCUAAAAGACCAAGAAGUCAAUCCAAGAACCUUGCUGUUGCUGAACUCCGUACGAUGAUACAUUCACUCUUUGUUGAAUCAUGUGCUUCAAUGAACCUUGCUUCCCGGUUGUUGUUUGUAGUAUUAACUGUUUGCGUUAGUCAUCAAGCUUUGCCAGGGGGCAGCAAAAGACCAACUGGUAGUGAAAACCAUUCUUCUGAGGAGGCCACUGAGGACCCAAGAUUAACCAAUGGAAGAAAUAGGGUCAAGAAGAAACAAGGGCCUGUUGGUACAUUUGACUCGUAUGUGCUGGCCGCUGUUUGUGCCUUAUCUUGUGAGCUUCAGCUGUUCCCUAUCCUUUGCAAGAGCGCAACAAACUCAAAUGUAAAGGACUCUAUAAAGAUCCUGAAGCCUGGAAAAAACAAUGGGAUCAGUAAUGAGCUACAGAACAGCAUUAGCUCAGCAAUUCUCCAUACUCGUAGAAUUCUUGGCAUCCUGGAAGCUCUUUUCUCCUUGAAGCCAUCAUCAGUUGGUACCUCCUGGAACUACAGUUCAAAUGAGAUAGUUGCAGCGGCUAUGGUUGCCGCUCAUGUUUCUGAGUUAUUUCGUCGGUCGAGGCCAUGCCUAAAUGCACUAUCUUCACUGAAGCGAUGUAAGUGGGAUGCUGAGAUUUCUACCAGGGCAUCAUCUCUCUACCAUUUGAUCGACUUGCAUGGUAAAACUGUGUCCUCCAUCGUGAACAAAGCUGAGCCUCUAGAAGCUCACCUGACUUUUACAUCGGUAAAGAGAGAUGAUCAACAACACAUUGAGGAAAACGGCACCAGCUCAUCGGGUAGUGGCAACUUGGAAAAGAAGAAUGCUUCAGCCUCACACAUGAAAAAUGGUUUUUCAAGACCACUCUUGAAAUGCUCAGAAGAGGCUAGGCGAAAUGGUAAUGUUGCAAGUACAUCCGGGAAAGUUCCUGCAACUUUACAGGCUGAAGCAUCUGAUUUGGCGAACUUCCUUACCAUGGAUAGGAAUGGGGGUUAUCGAGGCUCUCAGACUCUCCUAAGAUCUGUUAUCUCAGAAAAACAGGAACUAUGCUUCUCUGUUGUCUCAUUGCUCUGGCAUAAGCUUAUUGCAUCUCCUGAAACGCAGAUGUCUGCAGAAAGUACAUCAGCUCAUCAAGGUUGGAGAAAGGUUGUAGAUGCACUUUGUGAUGUUGUUUCAGCCUCACCAGCCAAGGCUUCAACUGCUAUUGUUCUGCAGGCUGAGAAGGACCUACAGCCCUGGAUUGCUCGAGAUGACGAGGAAGGUCAGAAGAUGUGGAGAGUCAACCAGCGAAUAGUUAAACUGAUAGCUGAGCUUAUGAGGAACCAUGAUAGCCCAGAAGCAUUGAUAAUUCUUGCUAGUGCUUCAGACCUUCUACUUCGUGCUACAGAUGGGAUGCUUGUUGAUGGUGAAGCUUGUACCUUGCCUCAGUUAGAGCUCCUGGAAGUAACUGCUAGAGCUAUUCAUCUCAUCGUUGAAUGGGGAGACCCAGGUGUAGCAGUUGCUGAUGGCCUCUCAAAUCUGUUAAAGUGCCGUCUAUCACCUACCAUCCGCUGCCUCUCCCACGCUAGCGCACAUGUACGAGCGCUCAGCAUGUCCGUCCUCCGUGACAUCUUGAACAGUGGGCCACUAGGUUCCACUAAGAUCAUUCAAGGCGAGCAACGGAACGGCAUCCAAAGCCCGAACUACCAAUGCGCAGCAGCAAACACGGUGAACUGGCAAGCGGAUGUGGAGAGAUGUAUAGACUGGGAAGCCCGCAGCCGGCGCGCCACCGGGAUGACCCUCGCCUUCCUCACCGCUGCGGCUAACGAGCUCGGCUGCACCCUUCCUUGCUGA